rnacentral:rRNA from 1 species
ACGGGAGGCAGCAGUAGGGAAUAUUGCACAAUGGGGGAAACCCUGAUGCAGCAACGCCACGUGUGGGAAGACGCAUUUCGGUGUGUAAACCACUGUCGUGAGGGAAUAAGGCUGAGUUUCGGCUCAGUUGAAUGUACCUCGAAAGGAAGCACCGGCAAACUUCGUGCCAGCAGCCGCGGUAAUACGAGGGGUGCAAGCGUUGUUCGGAAUCGCUGGGCGUAAAGGGAGCGCAGGCGGAAGUGCAAGCGGUCUGUACAAUACCGGGGCCCAACCCCGGACCUGCAGACCGUACUGCAGUUCUUGGAUAGUUCAGGGGCAAGCGGAAUUCCUGGUGUAGCGGUGGAAUGCGUAGAGAUCAGGAAGAACACCGAUGGCGAAGGCAGCUUGCUGGGGACUUAUCGACGCUCAUGCUCGAAAGUGCGGGUAGCAAACAGGAUUAGAUACCCUGGUA